UCCAGCCACCUGAAUGGAUCACUGAAAGAGAUUACAAGGCGGAACCUGCCACCGUCUGGGGUCUUGGCAUAUUCCUGUACCAACUGCUGUGUCAAGAAGAGCUUUUUUGUGGAGAGCAAGAAAUUGUUGAUGGCCACCUGGACUUCCCUGAUGAUCUGUCUGAAUCUGCCUGCAGUCUGAUAAGGUGGUGCCUGCAACGAGACCCUAAAAGACGACCAACCCUUGAGCAGAUCCUUGUACAUCACUGGUUCUGAGGAAAGGUUAUUGAGGAACAACAGAAUAAACCUAAAUAAAGUGAGCUGAACUUCAAGAGAAGUAAAAAAUGGAAAGAGGAAAAAACACCCAGAGUCACCAGGGGCAGCCAGAAUCUCCUCAAUACCUUUGUGUGUGUGUGUGUGUGUGUGUGUGUGUGUGUGUGUGUGUGUGUGUGUGUGUGUGUGUGUGUGCGUGCCAAAACAUUCCAACAAAAUUAUGACGUGGUAACACAGUGUCCCACUACCAGGAGCGUUGUAUUGAUCAGCUCUCCCCCACAGUGGCAAAGACAACAGCAAUGUAACUGGCUCAGCAACAGAGCUGCUGCUGCUGCACAAAAGGGUGAGAUAGGUGGCGGAAGAGAGAAGAGAAUGGAUGCUGAGAACUCCCUCACUCUUGGAGAACAACUGAGUGCAGGAACUGAGCGCAAGGGGGGGUCGAGCCCCAGGGGAGUUAAAUACAAGGGGAGGCGGAUGUGUGGAUUGUUUUAAGAUUCCUGCACUGUUAA